rnacentral:rRNA from 1 species
UACAGAGGGUGCAAGCGUUAAUCGGAAUUACUGGGCGUAAAGCGCAUGUAGGUUGUUAUAUAAGUUUGAUGUGAAAGCCCUGGGCUUAACCUGGGAAUUGCGUUGAAUACUGUAUGACUAGAAUCGGAUAGAGGGUAGUGGAAUUUCAGGUGUAGCGGUGAAAUGCGUAGAUAUCUGAAAGAACACCAGUGGCGAAGGCGGCUACCUGGAUCCAGAUUGACACUGAGAUGCGAAAGCGUGGGGAGCAAACAGG